UUAGAGAGAGAGAGAGAGAAACAGAGAGAAAUUGGGGGUUUGAAGUUUCUUUCAUGUGCAGAGGGGGACAGAAUCAGAAGUGUUUGUUUAUGUUUAUAU